UGAGUAACGCGUGGGAAUCUACCUAUCUCUAGGGAAUAACUCAGGGAAACUUGUGCUAAUACCCUAUACGUCCGUAAGGAGAAAGAUUUAUCGGAGAUAGAUGAGCCCGCGUUGGAUUAGCUAGUUGGUGGGGUAAAGGCCUACCAAGGCGACGAUCCAUAGCUGGUCUGAGAGGAUGAUCAGCCACACUGGGACUGAGACACGGCCCAGACUCCUACGGGAGGCAGCAGUGGGGAAUAUUGGACAAUGGGCGCAAGCCUGAUCCAGCCAUGCCGCGUGAGUGAUGAAGGCCCUAGGGUUGUAAAGCUCUUUCACCGGUGAAGAUAAUGACGGUAACCGGAGAAGAAGCCCCGGCUAACUUCGUGCCAGCAGCCGCGGUAAUACGAAGGGGGCUAGCGUUGUUCGGAUUUACUGGGCGUAAAGCGCACGUAGGCGGAUUGGUCAGUUAGGGGUGAAAUCCCA
rnacentral:rRNA from 1 species